GACGAACGCUGGCGGCGUGCUUAACACAUGCAAGUCGAACGGUGAAGGGACCGGUUUUUGCUGGUUCUGGAUGAGUGGCGAACGGGUGAGUAACACGUGAGUAACCUGCCCCCUUCUUCUGGAUAACCGCAUGAAAGUGUGGCUAAUACGGGAUAUUCUGCGCCUGCUGCAUGGUGGGUGUGGGAAAGAUAUUGUUUCGGUGGGGGAUGGGCUCGCGGCCUAUCAGCUUGUUGGUGGGGUGAUGGCCUACCAAGGCGGUGACGGGUAGCCGGCCUGAGAGGGUGGACGGUCACACUGGGACUGAGACACGGCCCAGACUCCUACGGGAGGCAGCAGGGGGGAAUAGUGCACAAUGGGCGCAAGCCUGAUGCAGCGACGCCGCGUGAGGGAUGGAGGCCUUCGGGUUGUAAACCUCUUUCGCCAGUGAAGCAGGCCUGUCCCUUUUGUGGGUGGGUUGACGGUAGCUGGAGAAGAAGCGCCGGCUAACUACGUG
rnacentral:rRNA from 1 species